CUAAAGAACCCAAAUAUCUAAACGGAGAAAUUCAAUACUACCGUUAAACGUAGUGUGCACUUUUCUCUUAGUAAGACGCCGUGAUCCAUUAGAAAUUGAUGCAUGUUUAAGCAGUGCAUAUUGGGUCAUCAAUAGGCCAAUAUGAAGUUUAUUCGGAACAAAUGGCAUAAUCUUUUUACGGUUGUGUGUAUUGUCUGGUAAGCAUAUUGUGUUUUCCUGUAAUGACUGUCUGAUGGAUUUUAAAGAUUAUAUUAUUGAUGCUAUACGCAUCACAUGCUUUAUUGUGUGUUUAUUUGAUAUAUAUCUGAUCAACGGUGGUUAAAUUUGGGAUACCUUUUGGACCCGUCUUGAAACACGGACCAAGGAGUCUAUCUAGUAUGCGAGUAAAUGGGUAGUUUAUGAAACCUAUUUGCAUAAGAAACUUGACUGUUAUUUAAUGGGAUUACGAUAUAUGUUUUUGUUACGAAAAUAUAUUUCUUCCAUCCCGGAGUAUUUUCAUCAACAUAUGGCCCGGUUAAAAAGGUUAUAUGGAAAAUAUAUCAUGAGCACACUGGAUACGACCCGAAAGAUGGUGAACUAUGCCUGAUCAGGUUGAAGUCAGGGGAAACUCUGAUGGAGGACCGAAACAGUUCUGACGUGCAAAUCG
rnacentral:rRNA from 1 species